rnacentral:rRNA from 1 species
GAUGAACGCUGGCGGCGUGCUUAACACAUGCAAGUCGAACGAAGCACUUUAUUUGAUUUCCUUCGGGACUGAUUAUUUUGUGGCUGAGUGGCGGACGGGUGAGUAACGCGUGGGUAACCUGCCUUGUACAGGGGGAUAACAGUUGGAAACGGCUGCUAAUACCGCAUAAGCGCACGGCAUCGCAUGAUGCAGUGUGAAAAACUCCGGUGGUAUAAGAUGGACCCGCGUUGGAUUAGCUAGUUGGUGAGGUAACGGCCCACCAAGGCGACGAUCCAUAGCCGACCUGAGAGGGUGACCGGCCACAUUGGGACUGAGACACGGCCCAAACUCCUACGGGAGGCAGCAGUGGGGAAUAUUGCACAAUGGGCGAAAGCCUGAUGCAGCGACGCCGCGUGAGCGAAGAAGUAUUUCGGUAUGUAAAGCUCUAUCAGCAGGGAAGAUAAUGACGGUACCUGACUAAGAAGCACCGGCUAAAUACGUG